GAGAUCGUGCCGCGGCUGGCUUUCAUCAUGACGUUUUCUCUCUUCUGGUUUCUCAGGUGGAGCUCAGGAGUGAUGAGAAGGUCCUGAGAUGAACACAGAGCAGAUUUUCACCAGUCAUUUAAAAGACAGUUUUUUUCUGUUUAUCAUUUGUGUAUUUAAUUUUACACUCAUUAAAGUCACAUCGUUUUCUGUUCUGUAUAUAUUUGAUUACUCACACACCACUGGCCCAAAUGAUGUCUAUAAACAAAUAAAUAGAUUUUUGGUCAAUUUUUUAA